CGUAGGCAGCGAGCGUUGUUCGGAGUUACUGGGCGUAAAGCGUGCGUAGGCGGUUUUGUAAGUUUAGUGUGAAAUCUCCCGGCUCAACUGGGAGGGUGCGCCGAAAACUGCAAGGCUGGAGUGUGGGAGAGGUAGGCGGAAUUCCUGGUGUAGCGGUGAAAUGCGUAGAUAUCAGGAGGAACACCUGUGGUGUAGACGGCUUACUGGACCAUGACUGACGCUGAGGCACGAAAGCGUGGGGAGCAAACAGGAUUAGAUACCCUGGUAGUCCACGCCCUAAACGAUGCAUACUUGGUGUGGGCAGUUCAUUCUGUCUGUGCCGGAGCUAACGCGUUAAGUAUGCCGCCUGGGGAGUACGGUCGCAAGGCUG
rnacentral:rRNA from 1 species